rnacentral:lncRNA from 1 species
ACACAAAUUACUUCUCACCAAAAGUACUUAGGAGAAAAGUACUUUUAAAAAGACACUUCUUAGAAUAAAUUGAUUUUUGCAUCUUGGCCAAAUGGGCUAUUAAUUGUUAGUUCUAUUAUUAAAGUACUCUUUCGCAAUUCAGCCAAAAGUAAAAAAAAAUAAAAAAGGAAAAUAAGAAAAAAGCAGCAGCACCUACACUUUCGCCACUGUAAGCUUGAACCCGGUUCCAGUGCCGCUGGGCUGUGGCACUAUGGCUCAAGGUACUUUCUAAUUUCCUUUAUUUCAAGCGUUUUCUUAUGGGUUUGUAUUCCACAAGCGUUAGCAACUUAGGUGAAACGAACAAAUAGGAGGUUGUGCCCGUUUCUCUGUGUAUGUAUGUGUGUUCGUGUGGUUUUGGAGAGGAGUAGCUUUAUUUGUUUAGAGGACUUAGAGGUCUUUUGGUUUGAAGACAAGUUAUGCUGGGAUUAGUUCUUGUUGUUGUUUACUGCUUCCAACAUCUGACAGGUCUAAGUUAUCGCAAUGUUAAUUUUAAUCUCGAGAUAACUUAUUCGAGUAUUAAUAGACAAGCAAGUGAUAAGGCGGUACUAAAUUUUUAAUUCCAGGAUUAUUUUUGCUAGUCCAUCGUACCAAACGACCUCUUAGAGUCUUCUGUAUAGAUCAUGUGCUCUGGUUUUGUUCAAAUUUGGUUCUGGUGGACAAAUGGACUUUGAGUUUUGAAGAGGAAAGUUAUAAAAGAAUUCGUCUAGACCUUAAGGCUAAUGCGUAAUAGAUAUUUUUAAUUGGACUAAGCUUAGGUGUGACACCAUGAUGAUUGAGGUAGACUAUCAAUCACAUGUAUUAGAUCCAAUAAUUGAUAGGAGUCUUUUAAGUUUGUUUGAAGAUUGUAUGACAGUGUGGCGAUAGGUGUAAGAUUUAGAGAAUCUCUAUUUUGUCCUAAAUGACCAAUAAUUGAGUGGUAGAAAUGAAAUGGAUCAAAACGUGUUAUGAACUCAACAAACUCAACACCUACAGGGGAAAGAUGCAUAAUUAUAAUGGAAAUGCAAAGUAUAUAGUCAUAAACUAAGGAAAUAGUAACAGAAAGAAAGGAGAUAAGGAGACAAAGCUAUAGAGAGAAAUGGACGAGGGAGAGAGAGACCAGGAGAGGGGAAUUCCUCACAACAAUUCGCAUAACCUUCUUGCUAACUGCUAGUCCCUUUUAACCGAUUCCUGACAGCACCUCUUGGGCCUGGAUCCCAAAUUCACUUUUUUAAAGGUCUUCUUGUCCUCUGGCUUCUUCUCGCCCCAAUAGCUCUUUUCAGCCCAAUAUUGGGUUGGGGCUAAUUCAUAACAAUAUUCCCGUCCUCAAUAAAAAAGAAACCAGCAGUCCCAUAUGUACUAGCAACACUAGUGCGGGUAAUGAUGUUUACUGAAGCGACAUCAAUGACAAGCACAAACCUUGGAAUACAUGUUGCUUUGACGAGCUCAUCUCUAUCACAAGUAGAAAGGAAAACAAGUACUCCCCCCAUAACAAAGGCAAGUUUUGCCACUAGAAGCUCUAGCAAAACAAAUGCAGCGAAUGGUAAUCCUUCAGAGACUUCAAGGCUAGGUAUGGUGAUUUUGCUCAAUGAGGGCCACAACGACUUUUUGCUAUCAUAUGUGGACUGUUCAGAAUCCCUCUUAGCUUAAUGGAUAUAGAGGAUUCAUAUGGCCGACCUAAGCUAGUGUACGAGUGAGGCAUAAUUGUUUUUUUUACCUUGCCCAGCCGUCAAUACAGCUCUUAGACUAAUGAUCUUCUGAAAUUCCUGCUUACUUUUUAGUAAAACUUUUACAUUGCUGAAACCCUUCAAGUUAUAACUAGCUGCCCAAAUUUGCAUGAUAAUAUACUACUAAUUUUAAGCUAGCAAUCAUUACAUAAUUUUAACCUUCCCGUGGCGAAUCACUCCAUAUUUGCAAGCCUAUGCCCAUUGGCUUCUGCAACACAUGUGCGACACUUCUUCUGUACCAUCUGGCAAUUUCCUGUGUUAACUGAAAAUGGUCUCAUGCUUUUCAUGGAUACGUGAAUGUAGACUCUAGGACAAUUGGAUUGUGAGCUCAACAUUGUGCAAAAUAAGCCUCGUAAUCCUAUGAUACAAGAUUAAAUGCUUCACAGUGAAGAUGAGGAUUAUUAUGAUAUUACUGUUUAAAUUCUCCGUAAGCAGUAAUAUACGGGCCACUUUCUCUUUGAUGGACUAGAUUUUUUUCUUGCUACUUGAUGCUUGUUGCAAUGUCUUCUAUCACUAGUUCCCAAUUUCUCACACAAUAUAAGUAACUCCUGCUUUGGCCGAGCUGCAAGAUUAUGGCGUUUUGAAUUGUAGUUCAUAUUGACUAGUAGGUCUCCUUGCAAGCAUGUAAUUUCAGAACUAGAAGUUGAGGUGCAUGUUGUUGUUUUUAUUUUAUAAAUCACAAUAAGAUAAUAAUUGUAUCAAUAUAGUAGGAAAUCCCUAGGUGUAGAAGUGGUAUACAAAAAGUAGAGAACCUGUCCAAAACAUGGUUCUCUAUGAAAGACAUACAACCAUCUUUACUAACUAGAACCUCAAUGGUGUACCAAAACUUUACAAGGAACAAAAGACAAAUGCUUACAUAUAUACAGACGUAUUUUUGAAGGGAGAAAAGGCUAGCAGUUGAGUAUUUGGACAAAGCGAGUAGUUCAGUCAAUACAAUACAGAAAUUCCUUGCCAAAUCAAUAUACCGUAAGGUUGGGGCCUCUUACGUAUUGGAAGUCGCUAAAGUGUUUGCAUGUUUUCUUGCAUGUCCAUAUUCCCAUUUUGUGCAUAUGAUUCUAAUAGCCCAGUUUCAAUUUCAACAGUUUCUGCUGCAUUAAGUUCCUACAGAAAAGGCUUCCAUCAGUUAAUCUUUUGUGACAGUGAGUACAGCAUGCACAUCAAGCAGUGCAUCUACUGAGUCGACUAUUUUAUAACUAUAAUUCUAAGGCAUUUGUUCUUUGUCCUUAGUUUAUCCAUGCGAUGCAUGUUAUUCUAAAUCGACAGCAGGAAAAGUUUUUGGCUCCUACUCUGCUCAAUGGGCAAAUUUUAGUGUCUACAUUUACUUCGUUUUGUUCGAAUAUGUUUGCCAACACCGUGACAAAUGCUAAACUGUCUGAUUUCGAGUUACUACAAUCAAACUGGGCUCAUAAUCUGGGCCGAUUUGGUCUAGAAAAAGAACUCUUCUGUACCUAUAUUUCACUUUCUAAAGUAUCCAUUGCUUUCCUUGAUUGCAUAAACUAACCAAGUUUAGAGUGUCGGUCCAACCCAUGUCCACUUGGCUCCGGAAUUCUUCCCACUAGGUUUCUGGUUUCAUAUAUCUCAGUUUGUUGAUCUCAUGAACAUGUAUGUAACCUUUCAUUGGUAAUUUUAUCAAACUUUUACGCAAAAUGUGGCUAUAUGUGUACUCCUAAAUUUUGUAUGACUAGAGUGAGUAUUUUGCCAAAUGCAAAUUGUCUUCUUAGUCCUCCAUUUAUGCAUGCUUGCUUUCCUCCUCUUGUGGUCUCUUACAAUAUUAUGACGUCUUGCUUGGUCAAAUAUUAGUGCAGAUAUAAAACAUCUCAGUCCUUGGUGGUUCAAUUCUACUUGUAUCUUAAGUGGUCUGCCAACAUUGGUUCGGUUAAGCACAUUUGCCUUUUAAUGCAGAUGUAGCUUUAAAAGUGCGCUUCAGGAGUCUCAGCACAAAUGAAAAUUCACGAUUUUGAAAAAUACAAGUCGAGCACAUAACAACUUAACAAGUAUGUACGGUUGUCCAUCCUUUAAAUGAUUAUUCUUUAUGAUAUGAAGCCAGUUAGAAAAGGAAUUAGAAAUAAAUUUUAAAUACAAGAUCAAGUUGAGAUGGUAGAAUUUUAGGUGUUGAUAAGAGAUUUUUCAGUAGGACAACUUGCUUUUUGCUCCUCAAGUUAUUGCUUGAUUUCAAUUUCCCUGGUUCUUUCAGUAAUAUAAUUGACCAAUCUUUAACAACCCCAUAAUUUACAGAGUCUUCCAUCCCCUUCUUCUUUUGUCUAUCCCUCAUAUCCUUGAUAAUCCUUCUUCAGACCUUGUAACCCCUUAUGUACUCCUGAACUUUGCUCCCUACUUCUUGCAACCUUGCCAUUUGCCUUGAAAACUGUUAUUCUCUGCCUUUCCCGUGGUUCAUAAAUGGUACCGCAACAUGUGCAAUAAUAAUUUGGGGCAGAAUUGCAUGCAAAGGUUAAGGGUAGUUAAAGAUGGGGUUGCAAAGUGCAGGGAAGGUCUUAGAGCCACUUAGCAAUUAUUUGAAUGCUAAUUGCACACUGAUGAUUACUCAUUUUGUUACUCGGGUUUCACCUCCAUAUUGUUAAUAUUGUGCAUCAACAAUAUACCACAUUGUGAUUUUUUCAAUUUAAUUUAAGGUAAUUGCAGAAGCGGGAUUAAUAUAUAUUUCGUGUUUCUCUUAAAGAAAAUCAGGUGAUUAAUUUUAGAAAAUUUAUUCUUAUGCUUAUCAUUUUUUAAAAUAUUUGCGAGAAGUUCGGAUUUUGGUGCAUAUGUAUUAUUUAUUGAAUCAAACAGUAUUAACUAAUGAAAACUUUGGAGAAACAAAGGCGAAGUAGGGUAUCAACCUGAAUUCACUAAGCAUAAGCUUUACAUAAAUGUACAAAAUCUGAAAAAUAGUCAAAGAAAAAAGUCACUCAUAUCUGGAAUAUCUUAUCUUUCACCUGAAUCAGACCCUAAAUACACCGGGACAUCGAUCAAACAAUCCACAUUAAGUUGGUUGUGGAUCUCGUUAGUCCGUAGUUGAGCAAUAUCUCCAUGAAAUUCUUUUACGUUAAAUAUUUUUAAGAGAGGAUUCAAAUUAAGUUAGUUGCACAGCCUCUCUACCCCUUGGGGUAGGGGUAAGGUAUGUGUACACUCUAUCCUCCCUAGAUCCCACUUGUGGGAUUUUACUGGGUUGUUGUUGUUGCUAAGCUGAUCUAUUCAUUGUUGCAUUAUUUCAGGCUCAUCUCAUAGACCUAAGCAUCCGUUUGAACAUCUCAGCCUUGGAGACUGUUUUUAUUUAUUUAUGAACAUCUACCGCUGGCUUUAUACAGUUCUUUCUUUCUUAAAAAGCCUCAUGAAAUUCUUGAAUAAUUGCUCUAGUUAAGAAUCCCCACAAAGUGGAACUCUCAGCCUUGUUGAAGAUUUGGUUUCUACGUGUGCCUACUGAUUGGGUGCGUGUCCUAUUAAAUUCUACACGUUUCACAGAUUAUGUCAUUUCUUGAGGAGACUGCCAAAUUGCAAGUGGGAGAAUGAAUCAAGUAACGUCCUGACUAGUAUUGUCGGCAUUUGGUAAUGAAUAUAACGUCGACUAUCCUUUUCUUUUAUGACUUGGACUUCUACUAUUUGUAAAGACAUGUAUAUUAUGGUGAUUGGUGUAAAGUUGUGUUGUUUUUCAAAAUCCCGUUUGUGCUUAUUGUGCAUACGUAGGUAUAUUUACGUGUCUACAUUGGCCUAUGUAGGACAGAAGUUUAUUAGUACUCAUUGUGGCAUAGCAUUUGCUCCUAAAUUCGCAAAAAAGACUGCGACAACCUUUGUGAAUACAUGUCAACUGUUAACUAAAAUCAACAUUCCUGAAAUAGUGCAUGCUCAAAGCAUGGUGAUGUUUAAAUCUUUAGUUUAUUUAUCUACUUGUUAAUUUGUGUAUGGUGAAUGGUGAUUGAAACAACAUAAUCAUCCUAAAGUUUUAUUUGCAUCUCCAUGUUAUGGGUGAACUCUCAUGUACAAUAAAAGAACAAGAAUAUAGAUGCUAAAUUCAACAGAGUGGCGCUCAAGAUUUAUGUUGUCUGAUGUAUUUGAAGGGGGGAGUUGCAGGCAAUCUUUCCUCAGCUUACAUAGUAUCUCAUCAUCUUGUAUGUGGAAGACACUAGACAUCUCAGCGGAGAGAAGACGACCUGGAAUUCGUAGGGUAAAUAUUUUGUUCUAUUCACUUCAUAAUUUGAGUUAGAUAAGUCCUUUUUUCGCUGUUUGAAAUUCAAGUCAUGUAAGUCUCUGAAUAUGCAGACAGUUUGUCAAGAAAAUAUUCAAAUGCUUCAUGACUAUUGCUCCUUGUAAGUAACCUGAUUAUGUAGUAUGCUUUGGAGUCUCCAACAUCAGCCUGUCGUCAUUAACUCUGAUGCUUAUUUCAAUCAUGUUUUACUGAAAAGCAAAUUAUUGAUUUGCAUAAUGUUGCUUGGACAUGGUUUACAGGUCUGAAUAUAAUGAAUUUUCUCAAUUCUUUCUUGGAUUAAAUCUUUUAGUUAUUGCCCCAUGUGGAUGCUAUAGACUUGCUAUUAUGUUUGCUUUUGUUGUACUUAAAUCAUUUCUUCUUUGGUUGGUUUGAGUGGAUGAAUGGCUUAGGAGGGAUAUGACAAGUUUGUUCCAUUUCUAAGUAAUGACUCUAUAUUCUAGUUUCUACAGAUGUGCACUAACUAAAGUUUGACUUGAUGAUUAGACAUUUUUAUUCAAGAAUAUGGUACAUAUAGAAAACUUGAAAGCAAAGCCUUGCAUAUAUUUUGAUCAAGAUUCUGGCUACGCUUAACAUCAUUUCAACUAGGUAGAACCUAGCCUAAGAAUUCUGGGUGUGUUUCUUUUAUAGAUUCUUGUUGAUUACUGUUAUAUAUUUGUACAAAUUGCAGUCAGUUGAAACUUAAAAGUUUUUGAGGCUGAUCCUGGCCAAAUUGGGACCACAACGAAAAUACUUGAGGAAUUUCUUUUUCAAUGCUUUUUUGACCACUUGAAGCUCAAAACUUUGAUGCUUUUCUUUCCUUUCUCUGAAAGGCCAUCCUGAUGGAGAGUGACCAGACCACUUUCUUUCAAGAGGAUAGGUUUUUCAUUUUCAAUCACAAG